UCAAGUAUUGAACCAAUUACUAAACAUAUUUGAUCAAUAAAUGAAUAAAAAUAUACGAAGUGGGAAAGAUGAAAGAAAUCACAGAGUAGUCAUUUGACUUGGUCAUUUAGUAAAGUUGAAUAAAGUUGAAUAUAUGAACUGGAAAGAUGAAUAAAGUUGAAGCCCUCACCCCUCUCUCCUCUCAUUACAUCAACAGUCUCAACACCUACCUCCGCCUCCUUGACACCACCGCCAUCAUGCCACCAUCUUUAAUCUCUCUUUCAGAUUCUAGAAAGUUUUUCUACCCAUUCUCUACCAAAGACUCCACAUUCACUUUGUAGAGAACUCUAUUAAAUAUCAGAUCUGAACUACUAUCACCUUAACCGUAAGAUUCUCUCUCUAGAAGACCCAAGGGCUUAUGCUAUUAACGGUGAUGGAGUAGUACUGGUAGCACAGUGGUUUCGAGUGUGUUUUGGCAGUUGCAAUGGAGGCGGCGGGACCAUCAAGAUAUCGUAUUCCUCUGAUCUGUGUUGGUCAGCGGCCGGCAAGAACUCUUUAUUCUUUUUCAAGAAAAAAGAGGGUUUAUAACUAAAAUAAAAAUUCAUUCUUUUUCAAGAAAAAAAAAAGGGUUUAUAAGAAGAUCUAAAAGGGGAAAAAGAAACAUGUCUUUCAUUUACAAAAAAAAAGGAAAAAAAAUCAGAACUUUAAUAACCUUUUGCAAAGAUACCCAUCAUUUAAACACUUCCUACAAACCAAAAUUAAAGAUUCAAAAUUCAAGAUUCAAGAAUAUUAUUUAAAAAGUUUAAAACAAAUCCCAUGAAGGGUUGGAAUGGAUGCAGUAGUUAAGCUGCAGAAGUUGUUCAGCAAGUGCAUAAGCAGGGCCUCUAGCAGUUGCUGCUGGUGGUGGUGCUCGUUCUCCACCAUGAUCUAUCUGGAAUCUGAAAGUAGAGCAAAACUCUUGAAAAGGGAGAUGGAGUAACUGGAAGCGUGUGGAAGUUUCUUGGAAAGAAGAAAUGAGUGAUUAAAAAAAGGAAGAAGCAAAAGGAAGGACAUUACAGUAAUUUCAUAAUAAAGGGCAAUAUUGUAAUUUGGUUGGUGCACCGACCUUUCAUUUUAAGAUAUAGUAAACUAGUUUUUUACCCGCGCCGCGCGUUGCGGCGGCGAUAUCAAGUCACACGCGUGACGAUGAUGACAUGUGAAUUUACCUUUGAAAGAAAUAAACCAAAAAAAUAACUUGAAGUGA